rnacentral:rRNA from 1 species
GUAACACGUGAGCAACCUGCCUUUCAGUGGGGGACGAACAUUUGGAAACGAAUGCUAAUACCGCAUAAGACCACAGUGUCGCAUGGCACAGGGGUCAAAGGAUUUAUCCGCUGAAAGAUGGGCUCGCAUCCGAUUAGCUAGAUGGUGAGGUAACGGCCCACCAUGGCGACGAUCGGUAGCCGGACUGAGAGGUUGAACGGCCACAUUGGGACUGAGACACGGCCCAGACUCCUACGGGAGGCAGCAUG